UAAUAGAGCGGACCUAAAGUCACCCCUCUUAUUUAACAAUUUAUAUAAAUCUGCUAAGGUGGAACCCAAUGAAAUCCUUGAAUUGAGGAGGGACAUUGACUGGGAACUAGAAAACCCUGGGUUCUCAGGGAAGUCAUUCAAGCCCUGAACUCCGAUGGUUGCAUAGCUGGUAAAAUCUUUGCAGAUGAGGAGGAGGAAGUGGCGGAGCUGAUUAGAACUAAAGUCGGGGAAUGGAGGUAAAAUUGGAACCUCUGAUGAGGUUGACUCUGUCUUGCGAGCCCACCGACUUCUUCAAGGAAGACAUGUCAAUUUGGAAUUUCAUGAAGGAGGGAGUAAUUGUUCAAAUAGAAAUUCCCAAAGAAGCUAAAAGAACCAUGUGAGAAAGGAAAGGGAAAACUCAUUAAGUGUAUUUUGUCCUGGGAGGAGCUUGGGAAAGAGAAUGCAAAAUUCAAGGAAGAGGUCAAAGAAAAGAAAGAAGACUAUGAAGAACAUGGGUUCAACUGCUUAAGAAACAGGAUGACAAAAUUAAGGAAGAGAUUGAAGAAGAGGAUGAAGAGGAGAAUGAAGAGGGUAAAGAAAGAAUUCAACAGCUCGAGGACAAAAUUGCAGCUAAGAAAUUGAAAUUCUGACGAACCAAUUCUUUGUCUCCAUGUGGAAUAUUUUUUUUGAAAGAUUAACUAAUAAUAAAUUUUUGGUUUUUGUUAUUUGUGUAGUUUAUUUCGAAUAAAAAUGUGUACAAAUGAAGUAAAAGAUGGGCGCGAAGCCUCUAAAAGCCUAGAAAGAAUUUCUAGUAUAUAUAUGUACAGUACAUAUAAACUAGUACUCCAUGUUUGUAUGUCUUUAGACCCAUGGGAACGUUCUUUGCUUGGUUUAAAAGUUCUAAAUUAAAUGAGUUGACUUUAAUAGAGGCAGGCAGGCAGCCUAUGAAAGUCAAACUCAUGAAUUUUCUUUAAAUUUUGUACACAGGUUCCAAAGCUAGUUUUACAAUUUUUCUGAUAAAUUUGAUACCAUUUACUCCAGGAUUAUAAACCAUGAAUCAAACCUCUGAAGAAUUUAUUGUACCUUUUGAUUGCAAUUUUUUGUUUAUAGUUCCAAUAGGAUUUUAUUUUUCCGAGGAAAAAACAGAGGACUGGUUACCAGAUUCGUAACGUUGCACCAGUCAGGGAAGAUAUAUUACAUUUGGCAAUUGUUCUUAUUUUAACGAUGAAAAUAAUACUUGCUUAGAUUUUUAAUUUACAAACAAAUUUAAAUAUCGCGUUUCUGUAAGCACUAUCAUCGAAAGAAGACAAGUGUCCAACAUAAAAAUUAUCUCAAGCUCUGGACGGCUUGUACUGAUGCAUAUAUAUUUCCCGCAGUAAAACCUGAUGCAUGGCUUGAUAAAACACAGAUUUCUCCAUCAAUGUAUUUCUGUUACUUAUUAGAUACUGAGUGUCCAGUGCGCAUGCUUCAAACUAUAUGAUCGCCACAGACUACUGUGACUAAAAUUUGCGAUUUUUUUCUCCACAAAUACCUGAACAAAGACCAUAAAAAAGGGGUAGCAGAGCCCUUUUUUUAAUUUUUGGUUUAAAAGUACCCUUUUUAAUCGACUUUUCUGAUAAAUUUCCGAUUUUUACUCCAAAACCCUGGGAGCAACUCCAAAACCCUGAGAGCAGCCCAAAACCCUGAGAGCAGCCACUCCUCCCUUGUUGAGAAAUACAAUGCAAAAUUCAAUGUGAAACUUUUAAUGUUAAAAUCUUAAAAAUUUAUC